CACGUAGGGGGCGAGCGUUGUCCGGAUUUAUUGGGCGUAAAGAGCUCGUAGGCGGCUCAGUAAGUCGGGUGUGAAAACUCCAGGCUCAACCUGGAGACGCCACCUGAUACUGCUGUGGCUAGAGUCCGGUAGGGGGGCAUGGAAUUCCUGGUGUAGCGGUGAAAUGCGCAGAUAUCAGGAGGAACACCAAUGGCGAAGGCAGCUCGCUGGGACGGUACUGACGCUGAGACGCGAAAGCGUGGGGAGCAAACAGG
rnacentral:rRNA from 1 species